UCCGGUGACGAUGGCAGAGUGGACACACCUGUACCCAUUCCGAACACAGAAGUUAAGCACUCUUACGGCGACAAUAUCUAUGCUUGCCAUAGUGAAGAUAGCAAGUUGCCGGGC
rnacentral:rRNA from 1 species